rnacentral:lncRNA from 1 species
GAAAACAGAAUCUGUGGCCUAGUUCCGCCUCUAAGGGACUGGAAGUAGAUGUCAUCCUGAAUCCAGGACAGCCCAACACACCUCAAGGAAUAUGCUAGAAAUGCUGCCAGAUGCUCUGUGUGGAGACUGGAUUGCCUCUGACUCUGGACCUCGCAGCAUCUAGCACAAGUUUGUACAAACUGGAUUUAUGUAAUUGGAAUUCAGCUGAUUGAUUGAAUCUGAUGACAGGAGGAGACUCUCACAGCCACAAGGACACAUCAAGUGAGCCCAGAUCCACCUUUACAUCUCUGGAUGGACCAUGUGUGCAAAGGUCCUGAGACCUCUAGGGAAGACAGCCCUCAAGAUGCAGCUUUGAGUUGGAUGUGGGCCACACGGUCAGGCGGGCGCUUGGAGGAAAUGUCAGUUUUGGAGACUGCUCCUUAUGCAAGGAUCCCUG